rnacentral:ncRNA from 1 species
UUAAAGGCUUAGAUAGAAAAUAGUAGGUAUCUUACUUCGGUAACAAAGGGAUGGGCAGCUAGACUGAGACUGACCAAUAAAAUAAGAUAUUGAAUUCACUUCUGGAGCUGUUAAUUAACGUAAUUUUUAAUUUAAGUAAAAUAAUUAACCGGUUAAUGGCCGUUAUCAUUUUGAGUGUUUGGGGUCUUUUUGUCUCCAAAAACAAGGGUGGUAUCGCGAGGCCUCGUCCCUUUU